rnacentral:rRNA from 1 species
UACAGGGGGUGCAAACGUUGCUCGGAAUCAUUGGGCGUAAAGCGCACGUAGGCGGUUCGUUAUGUCGGAUGUGAAAGCCCUUGGCUUAACCGAGGAAGUGCAUCCGAAACUGGCGAGCUAGAGUACUAAAGAGGAUCGCGGAAUUCCCGGUGUAGAGGUGAAAUUCGUAGAUAUCGGGAGGAACACCGGUGGCGAAGGCGGCGAUCUGGGUAGAUACUGACGCUGAGGUGCGAAAACGUGGGGAGCAAACAGG